rnacentral:rRNA from 1 species
AACGAACGCUGGCGGCAUGCCUAACACAUGCCAGUCGAAAGAAGGCUUCGGCCUUAGUGGCGCACGGGUGCGUAACGCGUGGGAAUCUGACCUUGGGUUCGGAAUAACUCCACGACAGGGGUGCUAAUACCGGAUGAUGUCGUAAGACCAAAGAUUUAUCGCCCAAGGAUGAGCCAGCGUAGGACUAGCUAGUUGGUGAGGUAAAGGCUCACCAAGGCGACGAUCCUUAGCUGGUCUGAGAGGAUGAUCAGCCACACUGGGACUGAGACACGGCCCAGACUCCUACGGGAGGCAGCAGUGGGGAAUAUUGGACAAUGGGCGAAAGCCUGAUCCAGCAAUGCCGCGUGAGUGAUGAAGGCCUUAGGGUUGUAAAGCUCUUUUACCCGGGAUGAUAAUGACAGUACCGGGAGAAUAAGCCCCGGCUAACUCCGUGCCAGCCGCCGCAGUAAUAC